rnacentral:rRNA from 1 species
GAUGAACGCUGGCGGCGUGCCUAACACAUGCAAGUCGAACGGAGUCCAGCCUUUAAGACCUUCGGGUCAAAGAGGGGAAGACUGAGUGGCGGACGGGUGAGUAACACGUGGGCAACCCGGCUCAUAGAGGGGGAUAACAGAGAGAAAUUUCUGCUAAUACCGCAUAAGCACACACUGCCGCAUGGCAGAGGGUGAAAAGAGAAUCGCUAUGAGAUGGACCCGCGUCUGAUUAGCCAGUUGGCAGGGUAAGAGCCUACCAAAGCGACGAUCAGUAGCCGAUCUGAGAGGAUGAACGGCCACAUUGGGACUGAGACACGGCCCAAACUCCUACGGGAGGCAGCAGUGGGGGAUAUUGCACAAUGGGGGGAACCCUGAUGCAGCGACGCCGCGUGAGUGAAGAAGUAUUUCGGUAUGUAAAGCUCUAUCAGCAGGGAAGAUAAUGACAGUACCUGAAUAAGAAGCCCCGGCUAACUACGUG